rnacentral:lncRNA from 10 species
UUUUAGUGAGCCUGUACCUCUUGACUGUGAACUUCAGUUCCACUCCCCUCUUUAGGUGUGACCAUAUGGCUGGAGGAGGCUGGAAUUGUUUAUUUCCUUUGUUCCACAGGAAGACUAGAGCCAGCUGGAGUUGGUAAUUUUACUUCCUCCAAGUUCGUUAGGCACUGAUGAAACCCCAGCAGUUUAGGUUCUGGUUAAAUAGUUUCUCCUGAGGGCAGACUUUGUUAAGAAGAAUACAAUGCUCUGGCAUAUUUCAAAAUGGCACUUUUCCCUCCCUUGCUGUAAGCAUGGGGGCAUUUUUAAAAAUCUGCUAUUUGCUUUGAUAAACUGGUGGAGCUCUAGCAGGUAAAACUCGCAAAAGUAGGGGGCCCCUCAAUAACUGAAUCCCUCUGAAGUUUCAAACUCUCUGACUUGUCCACAUUGAGCUUCCAGCAAUUUGUUAAUUACAGUUCAGGUUUUUCCAGUUUGGCACUGGUUCCCUUGGAGGUUUCUGCUCAUGGGUUUCUGCUCUGUCAAAAGACACCGAAGGUCGUCGACACAGCAUCCAAAAAUGCUUCCUGGGGAAGAUGGACCAAGACGCUGCCGCGACAGGCUCCAAGAGGAAGAGUGGUAGCAGGCUAUAACACAGAGGAUAAUCUUGUCUCCAAAAGAGGUAAUGAGUGAGAAGAGCAAUGAUAGAAAUAAUUUAAAAGCUUUGGCUAAAAAACUGUUUCCCUCCAAUAGAUUACCAUUCCCUGAGUCACUACCUCUACAGAUAAGUUUGCCAGAUAAAAUUCAAGGCACCCAGUGAAAUUUGAAUUUGAGAUCAACAAUGAAUAAUUUUUUGGCACAUGUAUUUCAUGCAAUAUUUGAAAUAAUGUAUUUUUAUAGGUUAAAUAUGGCAAUUUUACCUACAGAUGGAGACUGCAUUUCAGUCAGAUAGUUUUAUGGGGUAUUAAACUAUUAGAUCUCUUCAGAGCUUUCAGGCAUAGUUUAUUCCUCCCUCCUAGAGAAAUAUUCUUCUCCCAAGGCUUCUGUGUCACAUUCUUUCCCACUUGUGUUCCUAUCUCUAAUACUAGUCUUUCUUAGCCUUAUACAAGUACUUUCUCUUUACCCAAUUGCCAUAUACAAUCACACAGGUUGUGUGCUACACAACUUCUGGGGUAUGCCCUUCACCUAGAGUGAUAUGACUGGUUCCCAUAAACAUGCAGUGUACAACCUACACAACUGUACUGAGCAGCUUGGCAUCCACUCUACAUGUUAAUAUUCUCCACAAUUUUAUCUCAGUACACUUGAACUUUUGCUCGUACUGGACAAAUUCAUCUGACCUGAUAAUUUUUAAUACUAUAAAUAUGCAUAUUUUCAAUAUAUGAUAUCACACUGUGAAAUAAAGUUUUGAGAACUUUUUUUUUCACAUAGCAUCAUUUUUUAGGCUACUCUAUAGUUUCCAAAAUAAUUUUAAAAAUUACAUAAUUAUCUUCACCAGUUCUUCAUAUGGACACACUAUGAUUUAUUCAAGCCUUCCCUAUAUUCUAAGGCAUUUUUAAGCAUAACAAUGUAAUUAAACAAGUAGUAUUCUGAGGAUAUGACCAAAGUGCAUUUUGAUUUUUGUAUCGCAAGGUUUUUCCCAUCCCGUGGCAGGACCCAUGACUUCUCUGUUAUGUCCUAGGUAAUAGAAGGUCUUCGGACUUUCCAUUUGAUUAUAGACUACACAGUCUUGUGUUUAUUUCAAAACUUCUGAACUUGAUUUAGAGUUAAACAUUCUCCUUUCUGUCAGCUACCUGCAGAAAAGAAGUCACUGUCUGGAGAGUGAGGGUGAACUGUCUUCCUGCACACUGGGCCUGAAUGCUGUUAAAAACUGAUGAUUUCCCCCGUGACUUUCUGUCUGUACCCCCAUGAUCUUCCCACCAGGAUUCUCUUUUGUCCCCCUGCCCUGUGACAUGUUUCCUGUUGGAAAAGAUCCUAUUAAAAUGACCCCAGGUCUACUUGCCUUCUCAGGAUGCCACAUCUGAUCUUUCAGCCCCAGGCAGUUUUGAAGAGACAUCACUCUCUGGAAAUCUUUGCAGGGACAUAUGCUAUCCUUUCUCUUCAGUAAAUACCCAGCAGUGGAAAGGCGGGGUCAUAUUUGGAGUGACAGUUUUAUAUUCCCACCAGCAGUGUAGGAGAGUUCCAGUUAAUCUACACACCCACCAACACUUGGUAUGGUGCCCUUUUAAUUUUAGCUAUUCUAAUAGAUGUGCAGGGGCAUCACACUGUGAUUUUAAUGUUCAUUUCCCUGAUGACUAAUGAUAUGACAGUUUUCUUGUUACUCACAGCCAGAGUAUAUAAUACUAGGAAUGCAGAUGUUUUGCAAGUCCUGUUUGGGCAGGGGGAGGGCAGAAGAGCUGAUAGAACUAUGGACAAGAAAGAUCAGGAUGAGGAAGCAGAGCGAGGGAACUGUAGUCAUGAAGGUCGUGGUCGGAGGUGCAGACACCUUCAAAGACCAGACCCGAUGGUGGGCAUCUGUUAAACAAGACUAGCGAUUUGGGGAAUUGGGAGGCUUCAGCUGGCCCAAAGGAGAGCAUAAAGCUCAGACUUCAUUCCCCUGCUGCUCUGAGAUGCUUGGAAGGAGAAGGUAGAGGGGAACCCCACUGGAGGACAUCAUUCCUGAUAUGAGCCUGAACUUUGAAUUGACUGAAUGUUUACUCAAAAGAGACUGCUUUAAAGCCAAAAGGAUGAGCUCACCAAGGAGGAUAUAGAACAAGGACCAAGCUGGCUCAAUGUGAAGAGGUGAGGACAGGUGAUUACACAAGGAGCCACUCUUGGUGGCUGGGUGCUAUGUGGCCCCUUGGUCAUGAUGGAUUCAUGAGUCAAGUUUAAAGCCAAGUCAGGAAUGGGCAUCACACUGAUCAAUUCAGAGUGCAUUCUCGAAGAAUACCUCUAAUCUCCUUUUAUAAGUCUAUAUUUCAGCUUAUUUUUUCAUCCCAUACUUGUGCAGUUGUUUCAUGGAUCCCAAAUCAAGAAGCUUUUUCGGUAUCAUAUUUUUAUCUUGUUGAACUUGGAUUAUAUUUGAGUCUGUUAAAGGCCUUUCAUGUUCUGAUUUAGUCACUGAUAGGACACACUGUUGAAAAAUCACAAAAGUUUGGAGACAAUGUUAAUGCUGAUAUUCAGCCUCUUAUGGGCCUUAGGAAGAUCACUCGGUUUUCUUCUCUGCAAAAUGCAACAUGUAUAAUGACAUAAUGUGAAUUAAAGUAAUCAAUAAAUAGUGGUGGUAAUCAGUGGUGUGCUGGUAAAUGUUUAACAACUGAUUCUGUUCAGUGCUUAUCAAUUUCUGUGUUGUAAAUCCUAAUGUUAUGGCUGAUGUCAAACUACAUUGUGAUGCCACUGGGGAUGAGGUUGGGCAGAGAUGAGCACAAUCUGCUCUUCUGAGCUGGGGCCAGCCAGCUCCCGCAUCCCACUGAUGGCAGUUGUAUUUUGAUUCUGUCAGCUAAAGUAUUGGAUCUUGUCAUCUGUAAAUAUAUGAGCAUUACUUUAAUAUUUUUAUCCAAAUCUCAAUGAAUGUUUCGUACUGAACAGGAAGGAGAUUGGUAAUUUGCCCAGGAGGACUCCAUCAGGUUGUUAGCAGUCUAUUUCUGUGAACUUUAAAAUUUCUUAUCAAUCAGUUUUUAAUCAACAUCAUUACAACUUGAUUCACUCAAUAUUUGUCCAUCUUGACUCAGGCCGUCUUGAAAUUUUUUAAAAUCCUGUGUUGAAGUUGAAUUACAUUUUUUCUACAUUUCCUAACCUGGCAGUUCUCAGCACUGACCACCGUUAGAAUCACCUGAGAAACCUUGAGGAUACACUUAAGAUACACUGAAGGCCCAGCCCAGGGCGGGCUACAUAAUUUGUAGGGAUGAGUACAUAAUGGAAAUGCAGGACCACUUGUUCAAAAAUUAUUAAGAAUUUCAAAAUGGCGAUUUUGCAGAGCAUGAAACCAAGUGUGGGCCCUUCUGAGCCUGGGACCCUGUGCAACUGUACAGGCUGGGCACCCAUGAAGUAGCCUAUUCUAGUCAUUUAAUCAUUGGUUUUCCAAGGUGAAAUAUGGGAAUUCACACUGUUUAAAAUCUUUCCAGGUGGCUCUAAUGUGUAGUCAGAGUUGAGAACUUGAUGGUCCUCAAACUUAUUGCAGUGGAAUCCGAGGUUGUUAAAACACAGAUGGCUGAGCCCCACCUUAGAGUUUCUGACUCAAUAGGCCUGGGAUGGGGCACUAGAAUUUGCAUUUCCUUCAAGAUCCCAGGGGAUGCUGAUGCUGCUAGCCUGGGAACCGCAUUCUGAGAAUCAUUGACCUCAAGGGUGAAGUGCCAAGCCCUUGUACGGUAUGCAUUGUCUUUAUGAUCUGACUCCUGCCUGCCUCCAGGUGGUGGAGUCUUAAACUCAAGCCACGUGGAGCUCCUCACCAAUCCUCAAAUUCCCCAUGCUCUUGCAUGCCUUCAUGCAAGAGCUGUAGUUCUUGUGUCUGCAGGAAAAUUUCUGUUCCUCCCUUAAGGAUUCCCUUCUCCAGGCCCUCUUCCUGCGCUUGGAGGCAGGCAGCCUUCUAUUCUCUGCUGUGUGUCAGCACUCAUUGUGCUCACAGUCUACUCGUAUGUGUCUCUGAGAGCAGAUGACUGUGUCUUUCAUCUUUGUCUUCUCAGGGUCUGACACACUGUGAGCAUUUAAUAAGGAUGCUCACAUCUUUAUUAAAUGUGUACAUGGAGAGAAUAAUUUAAUUAUGUGUUCUGAGUAAAUACAUGAUCGUUCUUCAUGAUUACUAUUGUCUGGAUAGGAUCUAAGAAAGAGUGAAGGAGUUUGUUUUCCUCUAAUCCUUACAAGGUGACUUAAAAAUGCAUGCUGAUGAUGCCUAAGAGAACUGGGCUAGGGAUAGAGAUCAAUUGUUGUAGAUCCCUUUCUACAGGUGGAAAAACACAUCACAUUCUUGACUGAAUCAGCAUUUUGAUUUUUGCCUUUAGCAAAGAGAUUUUAAUGAACAACUUCAACCCUAAGGCUAUUACCAUCAUGUUUUAUAUGGAAUGAGACAACCUUUUGCAAAGAGCAAUGGUAGCUUAAGAAAAAAUCCAUCAAUAUUUAGGGUUUUGUUUUUCCCCUGACUGCAUGUGACUGAACAUUGAUUGGACUGAGAAAUGAUGUGAAAAAGAGAAUAUAAACAUAUAUGUAUUGUGAAGGGAUUAAUGAGCAAAUAUCCAAAGUUUUUUGGUCAGUUGUUGGUCCAUAAAGCCCUGUUUUAAAGUGUGUGUGGGAGUGUGUGUGUGUGUGUGUGGUUUGUGUGGGGCUGUGUGUGUGAUUGUGUGUGUGUGUGUGUGUGGGGUACGGGUGGUAUUAUGUGUGUGUGAUUGUGUGUAUUUGUGUGUGGUAUGGUGGGAUAUGUGUGUGAUUGUGUGUGUGCGUGUGAGUGGUAUGUGUGGGGCUGUCUGUGUGUGUGAGGUGUGGGUUGGAUGGAGGUGGUGAGGAAAAGAGGUUGCUUGAGGUUUCUCCCUCGAGGGAUCAUGCACACCCACAUAAAAUCCAAAUAUAAUAAAUUUUGGAAUGCAAGCACAGAUUAUCCAUCUAGCUGCAGAGGUGGAAGGCUGCCUUCAGACAUGGAAAAUGACAGAUAAUUAUCCAGUCUUUUGACAGCAUGUCUGCUACCUAAUAAUUCAAACUACUGGUAUGAAGAAGAAAGCCAAGAAUCCUGAUGAAGUUAGAAGAGAAGCUUAACAAUUUGCCUCCACCUUCUGCAUUGGAGUCUAUUCUUCUAUAUUUAGCUGCAGAAGUGGUGAAAGGUAGCCAAGCAGAGAACAACCCAGAUACUUAGGGGAGCUGCAGUUUUACCCUUUGGUUCGUGUGUAGCACCUUUCUUUCAGUUCAGUUCAUGUGUAGCUCCUUUUUCUACAAAUGUUAAGAAAAAGUGCAAUUCCAAAGAAUAGUCAAAUAAUAAGAAUCCCUUACAUUUGCAGAAUGCUUCAGAAGUUAAAAGAGAUCUCAUUUAUUUCUUAGAACACUAACCCUGUAGGGAAGCCAAGAUGGGCAUCAUUGUCUCUUUUAUACAGAUUGGGGCAUGCAAGGCCAUGCAAAAUGAUCACUGGCGUAGCUAACAAGAAUCUACAUUUCAGAUUCCUUGUCCACAUAGUCCACUUUAAAUUAAAAUACAGCGCUACUUUUAUAUUCAUGGGGUUAGGUUUUUCAUAAGGAGCACUUAAAACAGUGCCCCAGCAAUUUCAUUGGAAGUAAUCUGAUCAGUGUAGAUUGAUUUCACAAAUUCCCUUUUCAUCAAAAAGGAGUUUUAAGGAAAGAAUUACGUAGAUAGUUUUCUCAAAUCUUUACUUGAUUUUGCUUCAAUUUACUUACACGUUCUUUAUUUAUUACCUUGCUUUCCUACAUAUGAUCUGAUUUAACAAACCAUGAAUGAUACAUAAAUCACUAUCAUCAGCACAAUCAGCCCUUAUUCAGAGCAGGGAUCCAGCCAGGGGCCACAAAUGCAUUGUGACAUUCCUAUCUUAUUAGUUAUCUGAUUUAGGUCCCCAGGAAGAGAUUUAUCAUUAGAUUGUAUGAUAAGCAUUCUUUACUUGUCUUUUUCUCUAAUUGUUAAAACACACACAGACUCACAUGCUCCUGAGUUACUGAGGAAAAUUGAAUAGGUGCCUAUAACACAGGUUUGACAAUAUAGGAAAACUCCUAAAAAUGUUUUCCUGGAUUCCAAGUGAACCUAGUUGAAGGACGAUAUGUAAUGAACUAAAGCUCAGUGCCUUAUAUGUUCUCUCACAAGAAAAUCAAUUAAUUAUUCAAGAAAUGAAGAGGAAUUUAUGAAAAACUUCUAAAACCUAUUUUUAUUCAAGCCUUUAUACUAAAUAUUGAAAUGAUGUCAGAACUUUCCUUUAUAUUUUUGGUUGAAAUGAGUAUAAAUAACAAUAAUUCCCAAAGGGAUUUCUCUUUUAUUUUACAAGUGAAAAUACCGGCAAUGCUGUCUCUGGGGCAGACGGAAAGAGAAAACUUUCCUAAGUUUUCCUCCUCCACAUCAUUCCCUUUGACCAGGUUCAAAGUAGCUCACACUGGUGUUCUCCUGCUUUGAGAAAAAGCCAAGACUUUUGUUAAAGCCAUUAGGAAUCGCUGCUGGGGAUAUGGCCAUGUCCCAGGCAGGCGGUGGGGUCCCUGCUCAGUCACACUGGGCCCAUCAGUCUUCCGAGGUGAAGCCAGCAGAGGAACGAUCUCCCUUUUAUCCUCCCAUUUCCAGGACUCCCUGGACAGCCCUGAGCAGCCUUGUGCAUAGACAGCUCUGAGAAAAUAAUCUCAUCCAUGCUGGACAUCUCCAGUGAUCCUAGAGAAAAAUGAGAAUCUCUCGAGGGCCAAGCAUGGCAGGAUCUUGCACCUACAAU